UACGUAGGGUGCAAGCGUUAUCCGGAUUCAUUGGGUUUAAAGGGUGCGUAGGCGGACCAGUAAGUCAGUGGUGAAAUCUCUUUGCUUAACAAAGAAACUGCCAUUGAUACCGCUAGUCUAGAGUAUAGAUGACGUUGGCGGAAUAUGACAUGUAGUGGUGAAAUACUUAGAUAUGUCAGAGAACACCGAUUGCGAAGGCAGCUAACGAAACUAUAACUGACGCUGAGGCACGAAAGUGCGGGGAUCAAACAGG
rnacentral:rRNA from 1 species